UAAUACGAGAGGCCCAAACGUUAUUCGGAUUUACUGGGCUUAAAGAGUUCGUAGGCGGUCUAGAAAGUUGGGUGUGAAAGCCCUCGGCUCAACCGAGGAACUGCGCUCAAAACUACUAGACUUGAGGGAGAUAGAGGUGAGCGGAACUGAUGGUGGAGCGGUGAAAUGCGUUGAUAUCAUCAGGAACACCGGAGGCGAAGGCGGCUCACUGGGUCUCUACUGACGCUGAGGAACGAAAGCUAGGGGAGCAAACGGGAUUAGAUACCCCGGUAGUCCUAGCCGUAAACGCUGAGUACUGGACCGGAGCCCUGCACAGGGUUUCGGUCGUAGCGAAAGUGUUAAGUACUCCGCCUGGGGAGUAUGGUCGCAAGGCUG
rnacentral:rRNA from 1 species